CUUGUGCCUGAAGUGUCUUUGGUUGUUAAUGAUACCCCAGUUCUCCUGCAGGGGAGCAGCGGGCUGUGUCUUGCAAAGGUUGUUGGAAGAUUCCCCUCACAGGGGAAGAAAAACACUUAGAUGGUGCUUUAAGGCAAAUAAUAGAGCUGAUACAACAAGUCACAAAGCAGUGGGGUGGCAGAAAGAUAAUGUCUUUGAAAAUAUUAAUAGAUUUAGAAUGUUCUUUUACAUUGGUUGAUGAGAUUUAUAGUUAUCAGGUAUUUUUUUUAUGAUGAUGAUUAUUAUUCAUACCGUUUGGAUCUAAGAUAAAGCCUGUAGCUAUACUUGUUUUUUACUUAAACCUCCAGCUGUUCAAAAUCUUGCUUCUGCUUCGCAGUGGGUGAUCUGGAGGCAACUCGCAUGUGAUCUAAAUAUUAUUCACUAUUCAAGAAAAUGUCGGGCGACUCACGGACCCGUAUUUCUGGAGCUAUGAGCAUCUGCCUUUGUGAAAGUUAUUUUUUUCUUACAGUGGAGCUGGGGGGACGUUCUGUCCUGUGAACCAUAGAAAGUAGGAGCUAUUUCACCCAUGUUAACUCUUGGUGUGAAUUACCUUUGUAAGCUCCACUUUUUUGGAAAAACGAUGUUCGUUCUCAAACCCAAUUGCCCGGUCCCCUACCUUCACAGGCUGUUAUGAGAAUUUCUGCAAUGAGAUCGUCUUGACCCCAAAACAAGUUCUUUUGGGUUUUUAUAAUAUUUACAAGUCUUGUAAAUAUUAUAAGAGAAAAACUGUUACCUACCUGCUCAUCUGUGUGAGAGAAAUUCAAGCAGGGCUCGAGGACAUCGUCGAUGUUUUUGUUUAUACACUUGUCUGCUUACACCAAAGGAAAACGAGUUAUCAACCAAUUUGGAAGCAGAAUUAGAGUGGAAUGAUAUGGAGAAUGACUAUGAUAUGAACACAAUCUUUAAAUAGUGGAAGUGAAUUAAAACCUAAUAUCCAAAGACGUAUACAAAUAAAGCUUGGUCACAGCUGUAGAAAAAUGCAUAGGGAUGCAGAAAAGCCCUGUAUUGUAAUUUGUGUUUUUGUCCUGGUGGGAACUCAUUUAAUUAGUGCAAGAAGGUAUUGAAUUUUAGCUUAUCAUGCAUAUUGUUUUCCAGCUGUACUGAAGAUUGCCAAGUUUCUAAUGGCCUGACCCUGUUCUGUAAAUCAGCAGUAAAUUGCGGCAUUUACACUGAGCAAAGGCAAAGGGCUCAUUCUGUUGGGUUUGUGCUGUCACAGGAACCUGGGCUAAGGGAUUAAUGGGCUGAUGUUAAACAUCUGUCCCCUGUCUUUGGGGGGACGUAAACACACAAAGAGGGAAUCUAAUGCCAUCUACUAAAAGAUCUUCAAUGAGAGGAAGCCCUUGCUAGCAUUUCCAUCCAGUGGCACCUUAGACACAUUGCCUCUUUAUGCUAAAACCCCACAGCACUAAGGGCCCUAUAAAUAGUCUCCAUGUGACAGCUCGGAGAAGAAGAGAGGUUUCCUCCAGACAUUAGUUGUGCUAAAAGAUUCAUCAUUACCUGCAGUCAUGAAAUAAAUCUUUGAUACUUACAACUAUAAUAUCCAUGCUCUACGUUUUAUUGCAGAUAUAGGUAGACAGUCAUUAUUUCUGACACUUUCUCAGCAUUACAAGGAGGACUCUAGGGGAAAAACUAGUGUACAGUGUUACAGAAAGAGAUUGAUAUAACCACAUGGAAGCCGGUUCCUUUACUGAGCCAUUGUAACCAAUACAAUAUUCCCUUAAUGAUAUUAAACAAUCACGUAGAUUCCAAAUUCGAUGUUAAGACUCUUCCCUAAAAACAACCACCACCUCAGUUAUCUACAAAUUAAGUUGCCAAGAGGGAAAUUUGUUUAUUUUUUUACAUCAUAUGGUCGUUUAGAAGAAAUACAUUCCUGAAUGAGAAUGGAUUUUUUUUUCUUUUUUUAGCAUUCCAGUUUAUUAUUAUUUAGGGGACAUUAAAACAAGACAUUGGUCAACAGCGAUCACUUUAUAGCACUUGUGGGACAUCAGAAAUCAGCAUGUCGAGAAGCCUCCUGUUAAGAGGCCUUGGAGUGGUUAUUGUACAGUAGAUAUUGGUGUCACAUAAAUUGCAAUAACAUGAUACGGCAGACAGACAGAGGUGUUAAAGUUGUCUUUGGCCAUGAGCUAUUCAAGAGAGAGGCUCUUGUGUGUGUGUUUUAGUCCAACAAGUGAGUUAUGGAAUCCUGUAAGAGGCCUUUUCUUACCCGUAAGUUGCUGCUUUUAGCAAUGGUGGUCUCCUUUUCCAAAUUGCCAACGUAACAAUGAGGGCAGCAUUUCAGCUUCCUUUUUUUAUCCGUCCCUUGUUGCUAAAUUAGCAUGCGCCCUACCGCAGCAGCUCUGGGAGGCCAGCUGGUACACCUGGGGACCACCUGCUUUCACAGACCAGUCCCUGGACCACUGAACUCGACUACUAGUAGCCACUUCUGAAAAGAGUCAUCAAUUCAAAAGGAAGCGUCGCGUGUGCAUAUUUAAAGCCACGAUAAUUAUUGGUAGCCUCUGCAUAACAAAUGUAAUUUCAAUUAGACUCUUUUUCUAAAUUAAAAACUAUUGCUUGUGUGU